AAAAUUGGCUUCAAGCCACAAUUCCAAUUUCUCAUCGCCAAUCAAGGGAUGAUGUUGAGGCAUUGGAGGAGGAGUUACUUGACUUAGUUUUAAAUCAACAACCAGCAAAUACAAGCUCAAGCAAGGGUUCCACUUCAGGCAAACGACCCUUGAUUAGCAUUGAUGGUUAAUUAGUGACUUGGAGGAUGGUAAUUUAUUUUGUAAAGAAGGCAGCAUUUUGGAAAUAUUUUGGAAGCUUUUUGGACAUAUUGCUUUUCUAACUUGUAACAAUACUCAACUGUCA